UUUUCAUGUGCAAAAAUCUCUGCUUUCUUUCAAUUUACAGAAAACAACCAAACUCCCUCAAAAUUCUUGUUUUGAUAAAUUCAAACAUGCAUACAUCUAUUUUCUGUAAUUCUAUAGAUAUUACUAAUUACAUGGAAAAAGGAAAUAGAAAUAGAAGUGAUUGAAAGAGAAAUGGUGGUUUAAGAGUUUAGACAAGAGAAGGGAAGAGGGGGGAUGGCUGCAGAACGGAGCCGCCGGCGCUGCGCGCCACGGCGGCCGACGGAGGAAGAGAAGGGGCAGCGGUGCGGUGGUCUUGGCCGCUGCUAUGCUGGUCUGGUCGAACAGACGGAGAAGGCGCCUGGGCCGCGCCGCUGUCGACGCGGGGACGGCGAUGGUGGUGCUGCUGUUGGCCAGGAGAGAGAAGGGAGGCGGUGGCUAGGCGGCGCUGCUGUCGACGUGGGAACGACGAUGGCGGCCGCUGCUGCCGGCCGAAGGAGAGAGGGAGGGAGGUGUAGACACGGUGGUGAGGUCGCUGGAGAGAGGCGACGAAGAGAGGGAGAGUGAGGGCGAGAGGAGGCAGAGCCGCCAGCUCCGGCGGCGGCGUUGCCGUCUGGUGGCGGUGGCAAAAGGAAGACCGAGGAAGGGAGAGAGGGGUAGGAGAGAGAGAGAGCUGCUGUGAGGGAGUGUUGGCUGCGUAAGUGUGGUGUGUGUGAGUUUAAAUUAGGGUGAAGGAAAAGAGUGGGCUUGGGCCUAGGAUAAUUUGUUUUUUUAAAUGGGCUCAGAUUUAUUAAAUGAUUGGGCUAUAAUUUGAUUAGCUAUUGCACUAAUUUAUUUUAUCAAAAGGCUUGCAUUUGCAUAUUAUUUUUACAAAGAAUGUCAUAUUUGGACUUGGUAUUUUUGAGCACUAACCCAAAUUUUUAAUAAGAGCAUGCAUUUUAUUAUUUGAUUCAUUAGAUCAAUUAUUUUUUUCAAAUGAUUUUGAAGGUUUUAUAAAAUUUUCUUAAUUUUAAAUAUUUUUCAAAUAUAUUUAGGCCCUUAUAUGUUAUUAUUUGAAUUUAUUUGACUAGGUGCGGCGCGACUAGGAUAUGGAUUUUACUUUGAAUUAUCAAAAUUAGCUUUCAAGUUGAAGUUCAAGUUCAAGUUUCAGUUAUAUCGCUAGGGGCCCGCUCAAUGGAUCCAGGACUUCACCGUCCUUGGUAUGCCACAAUGCGAUUUCAUGUUACAGUUAGGGUUGCAACCUAUUCGCCAGGGGCCUGCUCAAUGGGUCCAGGACUUUAAAGUCCUUGGUAUGCCACCGUGCGAAUUUCAGUUAUCAGUACAGUGCAGUGCGUAUGUGUUGACCAUUUUAUUAACGUGGACAAUUAUUGCAUGUUUCCCACACUGAGUAUAUUCUGUAUGCUCAUCCCAUAUUAAACAUUUCAGGUAUUUUGACGUUGGAGACGCGUGGAAGGUCGAAUGGGCGCAUCGAGAUUCAAGACAUUUAUCAAGUAGUUGAUUUGAUUUUCAACUAAUUUAAGUAUUUAAAGUUUUGCUUAGCACAAGUUUUACCUAAUACCUGGAUAUUUUGAUGACAUCUUUAUGUCAUGCUUUGAAAUAAGAGGUUGAUUGUCGAUGUUUAAAUCAAAGUUAGCCUUUGAGUACAUUAUUUAAAAGUUUAAUUUUUUUUAGGGUUUGCUCCCUUUGAAGUGUUUUCAAAAUAUUUUAUUUAAAAAUUUAUUUAUUUGAUAAUAAAUCCAAAUCUUUAUUUUAUGAUAUUUCCGCUGUCAAAAA